rnacentral:lncRNA from 1 species
AAUUGGUAAAUACUAAUAUUAUCAGAAGUACCCUUGAAAAUAGCAUAAUGGGUAAGCAUUAAUAUUAGCAGAAGUACAUUGCAUAGUAGCUUGGUUGGUGAAUUAACUCUUCGUAUAAGUAGUGAUAUUAGCAGAAGUACACUAGAAAGUAGCGUAAUGGAUAUAUACUAAUAUUAGCAGAAGUACAUUGCGUAGUAACGUGGUUAGUGGAUUAAUUCUU